UACGUAGGGUGCAAGCGUUGUCCGGAAUUAUUGGGCGUAAAGAGCUCGUAGGCGGUUUGUCGCGUCUGCUGUGAAAACUCGGGGCUUAACCCCGGGCCUGCAGUGGGUACGGGCAGACUAGAGUGCGGUAGGGGAGACUGGAAUUCCUGGUGUAGCGGUGAAAUGCGCAGAUAUCAGGAGGAACACCGGUGGCGAAGGCGGGUUACUGGGCUGAUACUGACGCUGAUGCGCGAAAGCCAGGGGAGCAAACGGG
rnacentral:rRNA from 1 species